rnacentral:rRNA from 1 species
UACAGAGGGGGCAAGCGUUGUUCGGAAUUACUGGGCGUAAAGGGCGCGUAGGCGGCCUGCUAAGUCGAACGUGAAAUCCCCGGGCUCAACCCGGGAACUGCGUCCGAGACUGGCGGGCUUGAAUUCGGGAGAGGGAUGCGGAAUUCCAGGUGUAGCGGUGAAAUGCGUAGAUAUCUGGAGGAACACCGGUGGCGAAGGCGGCAUCCUGGCCCAUUACUGACGUUCAGGUACGAAAGCGUGGGGAGCAAACAGG